GGUCCUGUAGUGUAGUGGUUAUCACGACGGAUUCUGAUUAUGUAAGCAGUAUUCCGUCGACCCAGGUUCGAAUCCUGGCAGGACCU